rnacentral:rRNA from 1 species
GAUUUCUGGACUGAAGCAUUUUGCCGGCCGCGGUUUCGCGUGUUAGUGCUUGAUGCUCUGUCCAUCCUUCCAAUCGCUAUUGGCUAUUCUUCAUUGAAUGGUCAGUAGUAUUGGAUCUUUUACUUUGAAAAAAUUAGAGUGUUUCAAGCAGGCUUUAUGCUAUGAAUACAUUAGCAUGGAAUAAUAAUUUAGGACUUCGGUUCUAUUUUGUUGGUUUCUAGGACUGAAGUAAUGAUUGAUAGGGAUAGUUGGGGGUGCUAGUAUUCAGCGGCCAGAGGUGAAAUUCUCGGAUUCGCUGAAGACUAACUUAUGCGAAAGCAUU